AUUUAUGCAUUGUUGGUGGACAUGAAAGCGAGGCCAGUAACGACCCAAUGUGGAUGGGCCUGUGUCAUUUUAGUAUUUCAUCGGACCGGCAUUUCCACGUAAUAAUAUACCGCGGCAAAUGUAAUGUGCAGUUUUUACAUUCGCUUUAUAUGAAAUAUUUCCAUUUUUUGAAUUUGGAAUGAAGACAUCACUGGAAAGUGAUCAAACCCUUGCUGAAAUCCACCAAUUCUACUGAAAGGGGGAAACAAUGAGGCGGUGAGGAAGACGUACCCACGGAUACUGAAGCGAAAUGGUUCGGCCGAAUGCUGCCAGAAUAUUAAUGUAAUGCGUUCGACUCGGAACAAAUUGCCAUUGCUGUCUUUGCUAUUGUGCCAAUCCACCCGGCAUUGAGUUGUUUUUCGUAUGUUGGACGAAGUACGAGAAACUCAGGAAUCUAUUCAGCGCUUUCACUGUGAAUUUAUGGAGUCUCGAGAGUCCAUGGGGUUGUAUUUUUCACUGUUUUCGACAGGAACUCAUUAUCUUCGUCCACUUCAUUUACGAAAAUUCAAUCCUUUAUCCAAGGAUUCACCGUGGGAUAAUUAUCUGGGCUUGUAGACAUUGCAAAUAUCUGUAGAAGAGAUCGAGACGAAGGUGAGGAGGAUGAUCCUAGUGUCACAGGUCGAAUGAACCAGGAUCAGUAAUAUAGCUGAUGUUUGCGGACCUGUUAAUAAUGCCAGGUUUGCACGGUAAGGUUAUUAGUGAUAGCAAACACUUUAAAUUGUACAACCUUGAAAUCCCGAGUCUCAUCAAUAGGAAAUUCCAAUCUCUUCUAAUUCUCAUUUCUCCUCUUCUCUGUGGAUAAGGGGGACGUAUUUAAAGUUUUGUGGUGUAUUACAUAAAUCAUAAAAACAAUAUUGUAUGAAGAACAGGUGUAUGUUAUAUAAAUUAUGAAUGGGGACAGAGGCUCAUCUAUAGGUGAGAAGUGUCACUUUUCCAUGAAAUUAAAUUUUUUCGAGACGACAAUGAAGGGGUCUGAGACCCAAAAAAAUACAGAAACAAAAAAGUUUUAUUUUUUAGCUCAGCCCCAGGUUCUAAUCUAGGAUUUUUAGGAGGGGACAGCGAUAGAAGAAUUCCUUUUGUGUUGCAAAUACAAGGAGUACCUACACUGGGAGAAAAAUUUAGUAAAAUGUAUUAAAACUAUUUCUUUGCGACCAAAAAUGGUUGUUUUUAUUGAAUUACGUUUAAAAUAAUCAAAAAGAUUUUCAAAUUAAGAAAUUCUUCGAUUAAUUUGAUCUUGUGAUUGUGAUUUACUAUUUCUUGACAGAUAUGUAGUGAAAACGGGCGAGUAAAAAUUUUUUCCGAUAGUUUUCGUUAAAAAUGUCAUGAAUAGUUAAAAAAAAAUAGGUACAAAAUGAACCCUUUCCGUCAGAUAGCGAAUCCGUAUUUUGUGAAAUUGAUGUGACAAUUAAAACAUCAGACUAUCUAUUUUGUUAUGAAUGAGUUGUGCAAACGCACAAUUGUUGAACACCUGUAAGUGUAAGAACUCGUACGCGGCGAAAAAUGAUAUUUUAUUGAU